CCACCCCCGGCCAAUCGCGGGGCCAGGCGAGCUCCCUUUGUUCGGCCAUUUCGGGGCCGGUGGGAGCUCGGGGAUGUGCGGGUCAAAAUUCAGGGGACUUGAGGUAAAGUCCAGCAUAAGAUUCCCAGAGCCCUAGUUCUGCCUGAGGAAAAUACCUCUACUUCAAGCACUGUGAAAAAUGGCUAAGGGUGUCCUCAGAAGGCAGUCCUGCAGAUCUGCAAAAUGAUCUCAGAGAGAAGCUGAAAGAGAUAAUUGGGGAAAGCCAAAUAGUAACAAGAAAAACAGCCAUGAAUUCUUGGAACAUACCAGCUGGAUGCGUGACUGUCACUGUGACCAUGCACACAGAUUUAUAGCUACAAGCCUUGGGAAUUUCUAAAGAGCUGCAAAAAACAUUAAUUAAAGGAUUUGCAUUUUGAGGAAGUAGAACUGGGACUGUUCUCCUGAAAGCCAGCUAGAACAAAGAGGCUUUUCUCCAUGUCCUUUAAAGAUCUCAAAAAAAACAUUUUGGAGUACAUAGAAGUUUGUUUUCCUCAUAAUUCUUUCUCUUGAAGGUAAAGAGUGGAGUCCUAUUCUAGACCUGAGAGAGUUGAACUGCUAUAUACUGUCACAGAAUCAGAAGAGCCCCUGAUGACCUAUUGCAGAACACCUUGGUUGCACAGAGCAUAGGUUGAAAACCACUGGAAUAAACAAACAAGGAGGUACCCCCUCAUGAUUCCUGCAUCAAGAAGCUGUCAUAAUGGACUUUGUACCAAUAAUGAGAGAGAACCCUAAAGGCUCUUCAUCAUCUUACAGGAUUCAUCAAUGAUCUAGAAGACUUUCCAAGCAAACAGUUCAACCUAACCUUAAGUGCUCUCAGAAGAGAUUCAUCAUCAAGCCAGUAUGCCUAUUGAUAAUGGAAAAUCCCAUUUUAGAUCUUUGCCAUGAAAGAGCAUAUGAAAUGCUCAGCUCUUUGUUCCACAGGAGGCAUGAACCCAGCUUCAUUUCAAGAUGUCUUCCUUGUUGUGGGAUCAAGGGCUUAUGUAUACAUUUCCAGGAUUACGUGCAACCUUGUAUAGGACCAAACUAUGCUAAUUCUCAUAAGCUAGAACUGUCUCAGGCUAUGGACAGAUGUUACAGUUGUGCUAGGAAAAACACCUUUUCAGCACAAAAAACUAACGCACAAGUGUUCAUGUGGAUUCUGGCAGAAAAAGCCUAGUAUACAAACUGCUAGCUGUUUCAAACAGCAACUUCACUAUUUUCCAGUGCCAUGCAUGUAAAAAGCCUUUUCAGUUAUACCUGGCAUAAUUGAGGUCCCUGUGACCAACCUCCCAGUAUUUCCAAAAGAGGAGGGAGGGAGAGUGGCUGGCUCCCUGAUAGGCUGCCCAAUGAAGAGCUGUUGGAGCCUUGCAAGACCCCUGCCACUGUGGCACCUUU